rnacentral:rRNA from 1 species
CCUACGGGAGGCAGCAGUAAGGAAUAUUGGGCAAUGGAUGCAAGUCUGACCCAGCCAUGCCGCGUGAAGGAAGAAGGUCCUCUGGAUUGUAAACUUCUUUUAUCGGGGAAGAAGAAUCACCUUGCGAGGUGAAGUGACGGUACCCGAUGAAUAAGCCACGGCUAACUACGUGCCAGCAGCCGCGGUAAUACGUAGGUGGCAAGCGUUGUCCGGAUUUAUUGGGUUUAAAGGGUGCGUAGGUGGUUUAAUAAGUCAGUGGUGAAAGCUGGUUGCUCAACAAUCAAGUUGCCAUUGAUACUGUUAGACUUGAGAGAAGUGGAGGCUGGUGGAAUGGAUGGUGUAGCGGUGAAAUGCAUAGAUAUCAUCCAGAACGUCAAUUGCGAAGGCAGCUGGCUGUACUUUUUCUGACACUGAGGCACGAAAGUGUGGGGAUCAAACAGGAUUAGAUACCCUGGUAGUCCACACUGUAAACGAUGCGAACUAGCUUUUUGGCUUUAGAGUUGAGGGGCUAAGGGAAACCGAUAAGUUCGCCACCUGGGGAGUACGCCGGCAACGGUGAAACUCAAAGGAAUUGACGG